rnacentral:tRNA from 1 species
GGGCUUGUGGUCUAGCUGGUUAUGACGUCGCCUUGACACGGCGGAGGUCUUGAGUUCAAAUCUCAACGAGCCCA